ensembl:lincRNA
CUACACUCGAUCUCAUGACCAAGUUGGUGUGAUGGUCAUGGCUCUCUCUGGGUAUGGGCAAGUCAUCCUGGUUUUUCAAGGAGAGGAAAACACUGGGCACCCCUUAACAAUGUGAGUGGCCCAUAGGUCAGAACAAAGGGCUCCAAACUCCACAGCUGAGUUUGAAAUGUGCAGUGGCUCUAGAGUUGGAUGGGUAGAGGGCGUAUUCAUGUGUCACAAAGAUGUGACAUUUUCCAUGCUUGGUUUCAUCUAACCCACUUAAACCAUAGCAAUCAGCGGAUCCAUUGUCCUAGGGAAGUAGAAGUGUUGAGCAAACUGCUAAUCUCUCUGCCUGGAUGGGCUGGUGAGGGAGUUGAACUGUCUACGCAAGGUGGGACAAGGAAGUGCCCCUGGUAAGAUAGAAAUGGUAGGAGGGGACGAGACACUCAGAGACCUGCUUGAAUAGGGCAGGUCUUGCUCCCUCAGCCUCAGGCCAAGGUACAGUGAGGACCUGGAAAAGGGGGCAGCAGUUCCCCAUUCACCAGACAUUUCAGAGCGGCUCAAUUUUGGUGCAGUGCAUUGACUAAAGCAGUCGCUCCCUUUUCCUGUCUUUCUGGAAACUAUUUUCUUCUCUGUUGGCCACCGGGAAGAGUGACAGAAAUGCAUCUAUGGCCCUGAUGUAGGCAAGAUACACUUAACUAUCCCACAUAAGCCUCCUAUGGCUGACAAGAGUCCUGCGUCCCCAGCUAUGGGACAGUCAGCCACUGCCCAGUCUGACAGUGUUUGUGGACUGGCUGCAGGACAUGGGGAUGGGCAGGGCCAUAGACAGCAACUAUCCUGAAACACACACACGGUUCCCUUCAGAGGGAAUGUGACUGGCAAGGAAAGGCCUCUCUGAUCUUCAGUCUACUCUCCUCUCACAGUGUCUUCAACCCUCUAUGCCAGAACUUCAUGGACCAUCCUCGUGGGAACUUUCCCCAGUGCCUGGACCCAUUGAUGCUCCAGGGUCUGAACACUUUCAUGGCUCCAGCUCCUGCUACAGCACCAGCACAGGAUGGUCUGGAGCCGUUUCCAUUUUUGGAUGUUAGACUAGGUUUGGAGUUUGAAGAAGCAUCAUGGUGCAUUCAUGGAACUCCAACCCUGAGUUUUCACUUCGUAUCUGUAUCUGAGAUGUUGGCAUGUAUACCACUAUGGCCAGAGGUUGAGCUGGAUACAGCACCAUUCCCGGCUCCCACAUCACAGUCCCCAGGAGAGCCCUCUAAAGAGCAGGAAAAAUCCCUGCCAGAAGACCAGGGCUUAGCCGUAUGUCUCUAUCUUGGGCCUGCUCAAGAAAAAGAGCCAUCUUUUCCCCCUCCUGAGCAGGUCAUUUUAUUCUUCGUUAUCACAUUUUCCCUUAUGUUCUUUAUUUUUCAUUGUCAUAUUUACUUUUUCUUUUUAGGUAUGUAUUAAAUUAAUAUUUAUUAUUACCCUGUUGUGGUGUGCAAAUUGUUGUCUUAAGUACAUUUAAUGUUGAGCAACCAUCCUCACUUUGUGGUCCAGAACCUAUCUUUACCCCAAACUAGAAGCUCAGGCUCCUGACAUCCCCUCUCCCUUUUGGCUUCAUUUGCAUGGCGAGUCCCACAGGUCUGCUUCUCUCCUUGUAUCUCCUUGCCCUGGUGCUGCAUUCAGGAUGUGGAACAUCUUAGGACCUGGCCCAGAGUCGAACUUGGUCAGGGAGCCUUUCUCAUUAUUUGACAGGCAGGGACACUGCAGCUCAAGGAGGUAAUGAGGUCAGCUGGAAUGUCGGGGAACAGGGACUGGUACUCUAACCAGGGCACAGAGCAUAGCAAGCUGCCUUUUUUCUUAGUAUUCUCUUUGUAUGGAACCCUCCCAUUUUCUGCUCCUUCCAAAUGCUCAUCCCACAUACCUUUUCCACUUCUGGCAGUGUCUGUUCAGGAGAGACUAUGGCAUUGUUGACAACAUAUGUCCAUAUAAUCAUGCUUGUGGUGAAGAUCAUCCCUGUGACAUCCUGAAAACUGCCCACCUGAUUUCCAUCCACUAAGUAGGCCAGGUGGGCAUUUAGGAGCAUGGGGAUCACUUAGGUGGAGACCUGGUUCCUUGUGAGGAUUUCAGCAGGAAAAGCCCAAUUUGGUUCGGUGCUCACUGGGCUGCCUAUCCUAGAGAAUAGGUCUAGAGGGAGCCUACUGGGGGAGAUUCUAAGAGUUUGGGGAAGACACCAGGCCUCCCAAAGAAACUGGGAUUCUUAGGUGUGGGCAAGGAAAAGGCACUGGCCUUAUUUAGUGUUUUACGAUGUGUGACUCCAGUUGCUUCAUGUGGGGUGGAAAGGAAAGUGCUGGAGUGGGGACCUCCAGGAAAUCUCUGGCCUCUCCCUGGGCCCACAAGCCUGUGAGUAAGAGGACACAGUAUUGUGCCUUGGUGUGACACCCAGGCCUCCAAACCCUGCUCCCUGGGCUGGGCUGCCAUGGGCAGGAAAUGCACCACCCAGGGAAGGGAUCUUGGGCAUGGCCCAGCUCUGAGCUGAAGGUGAUGCACUUGACAUCUGAAGUUUUCUGUGUAACUUCUUUAAUCCAGGUCUCUCACGUCACAUCCUGAGAAUUGGGGGCUUUCCCACAUUCCACUUAGGCUGGGGUGCUGGCUGAGGAGGGGCCCUGUGGGGACAUAUCACUGUGCUGUAGAAGCCACUGCAAACAUAGCAACCAAAACAUCAUUUUCCAAAGCUGGCUCUGUCUUCUGCUGCUUUUCUGGGGUGGUGCUGGAUGUGUGGGGAGGAGACCUGCUCCCACAUCCAGUGGCUUCAUUCAGCAAGUGUUUGUUUUGAAAGCCCCUGCCUGGCACUAUUCUAGGGACUAGGAAUAGAGCAAGGAAGGGAGCCUCCAGAGAUCCUUUUCCCCCUGAAGCUCAUUUUGUCUUUGGCUUUCUGUUGUCAUUUCUUAGUUUGUCCUGUUAUUUGAACCUUUAAUGUACCCUUCCUAAUCUUCAUGUCUAUACUCUUCUCAAGUCUGUUCUCUCACCCUCUUUUUUUUUUUUUUCCCCCAGGCUGCAGCACUCCCUUAAUAUCUCUGGUAAUUCUGGUCUUUUGGUAAGGUGGUCUCUCAGUUUUUCUUUCUCUGUGAAGACUUUAAACUCACCCUCAUUUUUGAAGGACAGUUUUGCCUGAUACAGAUUUCUUGGCUGUCAGUUUUUCUCUUCCAGUACCUUAAAUAUUUCAAACCAUUUUCUUCUCGUUUCCACGGUUUCUGAUGAAACUUUGGUAUUUAAUCUUACUGAGAUUCCCUUCUAUGUGAUACUUUCCUUUUCUCUUGCUGCUUUCAGAAUUCUCUUUAUCUCGGAUAUUUGUCAUUCUGAAUAGUAGGUGUCUUGGAGUAGGUACAUUUGGAUUUGUUUUUUUAAGGGGCACUGUUAUUUUGGAUAUUGACAGUUAUGUCAUUCAUAAGGGUUGGGAAGCUUUUGAUCAUGAUUUCUUCAGAUAUUUCUGCUCCUUUCCCAUUCUCUUCUCCUUCUGGGACAUGGAUAACUUACAUGUUUGUGUGUUUUGCAUUGUCAUUCAACUCCCUGAGACCCUGUUUCAUUUUUUCCAUUCUUGUCCCUUUGUGUUCUCCUGUCUUUUGCAGUUCCAUUUGUUCUGUCCCUGAAAUCGCUAAUUCUAUCUUCAAGCAAUUCAACUUGGCUGUGUGUCCCUAAUGUAUUUCUCUUUAAGAUUUAUUUUACUUAUUUCUCUCCCUUACUACCCCCCACUGUUGUCUGCUCUCUGUGUCCAUUUGCUAUGUGUUCCUAUGUGUCCGCUUGCAUUCCUGGUGGCACCAGGGGUCUGUGUCUCUUUAAAAACAAAAACAAAAAAACCUUCCCAGCUGAUGGACAAGAGUAUAGAAGUGUCUGCAAGGAAGGCUGGGGCAGGGAAUCAAGGUUGGAUUUGUAACCACAUUUAAGACUGGGAGCUUAGAAGAGGACCUCUCCAUUUUCAUCAGACUUUGUCAAAUCAAAUGAGGUACAUGUGGGAUUCUGUGCAAAGCUUUCACAAGAGUCCCAGAAUUAUGGGAGCUGCCCACUGGCAAGGCCAUUACAGGACAAUGAACGGUCCCUGAGGGGUCAUCCCAGUGAAUGAGUUCAUACCCAAGUCCACCCGUCGUGUUGGCUAAACUUGUGCCUAGUGUAUAGUGGAUGGUCCUUUAGGAGAGCAACUUUCCAAGGGGAAAUGGAAGAAAAGAAGGUGGAAUCUGUGAUGGAGAUGGAUGCACUAUUCCAACAGCAGGGUCAGCUCCACACAUCCAAGCAAUCACAAGGAUGGGUAGAAACCUUCACAACUUCCAAUAAAAAUGUUUUAUAGCAAUGUCCUUCUUAAGUCAGCAUCGAAUGUUCUCUCCUGGGACAGCAUGCAUGGUGGAGGGAAGGGAGGCUGUCCCACAGAGCUGAGCAUCUGCAUUGUUGGGAACAGUGAGGAAUAUGGUCCAGAGCAGGGUCAGGAUCCACAGCUUGGAAAAUGGCUGGUGGAUGGUCUUUCCAGCAGAAUGUAUACUUCAGGAUGGGAGAGAGAUACCAUGGAAAUGUAUGUGGGCAAGAGGGGUUGUUGCAGAGAGUCUCUGUUCAGCAAUAGGGAAAAGCAAGCACCUGAACUCAAAGGGGUUUCAGGCCCAUUGCCUGGAAUGUGCACUGGGUAAUCCGGCUAACAGGGAUGGAAAGCUCAGUUCCAGCAAUGAGAGGACCAGGUCAAGGACAAUAGGCCAGGAGAGUCCGACGGCCAGGACAAGUGGAAGCUAAUCUGCGACGGUUUGCUCGGUCGGUAGAGGUGGGGUCUGGCUGCAGACGAGGG